rnacentral:rRNA from 1 species
GACAGAGGGUGCAAACGUUGCUCGGAUUUACUGGGCGUAAAGCGCGUGUAGGCGGGCGACUAAGUCGGAUGUGAAAUCCCUGGGCUCAACCUAGGAACUGCAUUCGAAACUGGUCACCUAGAGUGAUGGAGAGGAAAGCGGAAUUCCCGGUGUAGAGGUGAAAUUCGUAGAUAUUCGGAAGAACACCAGUGGCGAAGGCGACUCACUGGACACAUAUUGACGCUGAGGUGCGAAAGCGUGGGGAGCAAACAGG